GGUGUAACACCGGUUUCCGUACGAUCAACAAAGUUAAGCAACAUCGAGUCUGGUCAGUACGUAGAUGGGUAGCCGUUUGGGAAUACCAGGAGCUGUAU